GCCUUCCUUGUCGUGGGGAGCAUAAUACUCAGUGAACGUUUAGUGAGAGUAUUUAUGCUGACACCACUACUUAAAUAUCCCCUGUGUGCAGUGAAUCUCUUUGUGAGAAUCCUUAGCAUACGGAAUUUUUGGACAA
rfam:Stomoxys calcitrans breed 8C7A2A5H3J4 unplaced genomic scaffold Scaffold714, whole genome shotgun sequence.